GCCUACGGGAGGCAGCAGUGAGGAAUAUUGGUCAAUGGGCUUACGCCUGAACCAGCCAAGUCGCGUGAGGGAAGUCUGCCCUAUGGGUUGUAAACCUCUUUUGUCGGGGAGCAAAGCGAACCACGUGUGGUUCAUUGAGAGUACCCGAAGAAAAAGCAUCGGCUAACUCCGUGCCAGCAGCCGCGGUAAUACGGAGGAUGCGAGCGUUAUCCGGAUUUAUUGGGUUUAAAGGGUGCGCAGGCGGAGGUGCAAGUCAGCGGUCAAAUUGCGGGGCUCAACCCCGUACUGCCGUUGAAACUGCAUCC
rnacentral:rRNA from 1 species